CCGUGUAAAUCUUAGUGCCAUGCACUGUAUUCAUCGCUUUGCUCUAGUGCAUUUUAGUGUCAUUUAUUUCAGUGUAAGAAGCACUUUAAUUCUACUGAUAUCUCUUUAGCUACAAUGCUCUUAUUUUCUGUUAUUUACAGUAAAUUGGUUUGGUAUGCUUUCCUAAUUUUUUUAGUUCCAACACUGAUUCAUAAUUUCAUCAGGCUUUGGGAAUGUGUAUAUCACUCCUAUGAUGCAUAAAAGGAUUAAUUUUCGAAGAGUUUGAUGUGUUGCACCCACCUGUUCCUAAGCAAGAUAAUCGCCAUGACUGUGGUGUCUUUACAUUUAAGUAUAUGGAUAUCUUCACACCAAGAACUCAGAUGUCAAUCCUUUUCUCUAGUGUAGACAUUCCAAAUCUUAGGAUCAAAUAUGUGAAUGACAUGCAUUUUCAGCCACUUGAACAGUUCUGACAAAUCUUUUGUCACUGAUUUCUUUGGUGAUGGAGGCAAUGCCAAGUGAGGUUCAGCAUGUGCGCAGUCCUAGCUCAAAUGGUGACUGAGUUUUAUUUUUCAGUAGCAUGUAAUCUAAACAAAGUAGCAUGCAAUCUGAGCAUAGUAGUAUUUGUUUAGUAGUGUUCUAUGUUUCAUUUUGAUUGUAAGGUUGUUGGAUACUGUCAUGUCUUUAUGCCUGUGACUCGGCAGUACGUAUUUGAGCACGUUAAUACUACAGUGCUUAAAAAAAUUGAUUCUAUAUCAGGGGUCCCUUUCUUAAUGAUCAUUGUUCCUUGUAUCUCA